UCUCUCUGCGACACUGGUGUGGUAGGUAGAUUAUGUUUCUCUCUGCGCACUGUGGUGUGGUAGGUAGAGGUAGAUUAUGUCUCUCUCUGCGGCACUGUGGUGUGGUAGGUAGAGGUAGAUUAUGUCUCUCUGCGGCACUGUGGUGUGGUAGGUAG
rnacentral:lncRNA from 1 species